CAUUAGGUUGGCCUUUUGUGUACCCAAGACAGGUGAAGGAAGUCAAAAUAGGAGCGCCGUGAUUGGAUGUAAGGGUACAAUAUAUUUUUUUAUUUAUCUAUGAAUAACUGCAGUGUUUAUAUUUACAAUAUAAAUUUUAAAACCUAUUGAAAUAUUUUCUAGAGAAUUAUUCGAAAAGGCUUUCAAAAUUUUAUAAAUUUACUGCAAAAUGACAGUGGGCAUGGAUAACAUAAACAAGCUCCGUUGGAAAUUGGUCAUGAUACUAUUUGGCUUCAAUUUUUAAAAUAGAGUAAUAAAGUACUAACAC
rnacentral:lncRNA from 1 species